CUCGCACGGUAUCUAAUGGCGGGCAUUUGAGAUUCAUGAAAAAGUGUAAACAGUUAUUUUGAAAUGUUAUGACUGGCUAAAGAGACUUACCGUCGUAUCAGGGGCGUAGUUGAUUUUGUUCUUCUAGUAUCUUGAGAUUUACCAAUAAUGCUCUCUCUGUCAAUUCGUCAGGUCUCUCAGUUUUUACGUGAUGGUUUAUUGUUGCCGAGCAGUUUGUGUGAGGAGUGCUUGGCAAGAUCUCGACGCAUUGAAGAGCUUAACGCAUUCAUACGCAUUGAAGAAAAGUUGGCACGCGCACAGGCAUCAGAAUCGAAUAUUCGAUAUAAAGAUGGUUGUCCACAGGGCCCACUUGAUGGUGUCCCUGUAGCAGUAAAAGACAAUUUCUGUACAAAGAAUAUAAAAACAACUUGUGCUUCAAGGAUGUUGCAAGACUUUUGCCCUUCAUAUGAUGCAACUGUGGUGCGGAAGCUGAAGGAAAGUGGUGCAAUCUUAUUGGGGAAGUGCAAUAUGGAUGAAUUUGCUAUGGGGUGUGGCACUGUAGAUUCACUCUAUGGUCCCACUAAAAAUAUCUGGCGUUCAAGAUUCCAACGUGUAAAAAAUACUCAAGACAAUCCUUUGCAGCAUGAAGAGCUUGACAGUGGCGAUCAUGCCUCUUUCAAAAAACAACGGAUUCGUGAGUUUCAUACAAUGAGCACCUUGACGCAUGCUGCAGAUGAUGAUGAUAAUGAUGAUUGGCACAUAGCGGGCGGAAGCUCAGGAGGGAGCGCCGUCGCUGUAGCAAGUGGAGCUGUGUUUGCGGCAUUGGGCUCAGAUACAGGUGGCUCUGUGCGCAAUCCUGCUGCAUACUGUGGCAUUGUAGGUUUUAAACCUACGUAUGGUUUGCUGUCAAGGUAUGGUCUCAUACCUCUUGUGAAUUCAAUGGAUGUGCCAGGCGUACUUACCAGAACAGUUGAUGAUGCAGUAACAAUGUUUAACAUUCUAGCUGGCCACGACCCAAUGGACUCGACUACAGUGCGUAAACCAUUUUUGCCAGUUUGUCUUCCUAAGGAUCUAGAUGUUAAGGGUCUGCGAGUGGGUGUGCCUGCAGAGUACCACUGCCCUGGGCUGUCCACAGAGGUGCUGGCAGCGUGGACUGAGGUUGCAGAUUUACUGGAACAUAAUGGAGCAGUUGUUUCACAGGUAUCCUUACCACAUACACAGCUGUCAAUAGCAUGUUAUUCGGUUCUGAAUCACACUGAAGUUGCUAGCAACAUGGCUCGCUAUGAUGGCAUCGAAUAUGGAUACCGGGCAAAUGAAAGCAAUUCAGCUGAAGCACUCUUCGCUGCUUCUCGCAGAUCUGGCUUUGGUGAGGUUGUUCGCAGCCGAAUUCUCUCUGGGAACUAUUUCCUCCUGAGAAGGAAUUACAACAAGUACUUCGUACAAGCAUUGAAACUGCGAAGGCUGAUAGCUCAGGAUUUUGAACAGGUGUGGUCUUUGGGUGUUGAUGUGCUGCUGACACCAGUAACUAUGACUGAUGCUCCAAGGCACUCAGAAUUUGUCAAGCUGGACAAUAGACAACAAUGCAGUGGUCAAGACUAUUGCACACAGCCUGCCAACCUCGCAGGUUUACCUGCCAUCAGUGUUCCAGUGAAGCUAUCCAAAAAUGGUCUACCACUCAGUUUGCAGUUAAUGGCACCCAGGUUCAAAGAACAUAAGUUGUUUCGCACUGCCAAAUGGAUUGAAGAAAGUUUAAAAUUUCCUGCAGCUGAACUAGCCAUGUGAAACAAAUGCAGUGUUACAAAAAGAUUCUGCACAACUCUUCUUUGAUUUUUACUUUAUCCAUAAUGGAUAUGAGACAGAUACAUUUUCAUGGAACUGUCUGGUGUUGGUGAGGCUUUGGGAGCAACAGUGGGACUCGCUCACUGUGUUUCUCAAGAGGAAUAUGGCCUCCCUGGCUGGUGCCAACAGUCUUCGACAUCAAGAAGUUCGACCCAUGUACCACCUGGUCUUAACUUGGCUCAGCGGCUGUGUAACUGAGCAUCUGCAAUGUUAGCACUGCUUAUCCAGCAAUGGUAUUGUUUGGCUGCUCCUGUCACAUAUCUGACCAGCUGUCAGCUUCUGGUACACUGAACACCCAACGUUCUUCACUUCCCUCUUUAGAAUUCCCCAGAGCUGUGUGAAGGAAAUUUAAAUUAUUCUCUGUGAAAUAAAUGAGUGUACACACAAACUAUGAAGAAUUUCUCCGCUCUUGAUGUAUUCUAACCAGGAUAAUCACACACACACACACACACACACACUUAACAGUCCUGAAAUCACACCAAAUAAUUUCCAACAUAAAAUUGUGAUGUAACUCUGGUGUUCCCUUGCAAACAUGUAUGAUAGUAAAUUUCACAAAGUGUUUGUUAUAUAUUUUGUCAGUGUUAAUAGCCAAACACAUUUAAAUGUACGUAUGUAUUAUUUGUGAACUAUUUAUUGAACACUGGAUUCACUAGGUUGACAUCAGGAGACUCAAAAUACUUCCAGGUUUAAGGGAACAAUCAAAUACUUCUCUGGGUACCUGUCGUCGAAAUAGUGAAUUAUGUAAAUUGUUUUGUCUUGUAGCUCCUCCACUAAGGUUCCCUUCAUUGCAAUGUCAAGCAAUUUGUGACAUGCUAACUACAAAAAGAUUUAUGUGAAUUAAAAAAUUUAACUUCAAAAUAUUUAUUACAAAAAUUUCAGCAUAACGAAACUCGGUCUUGACAUCGCAUAAUCUGGUACAAACAUGUGUGGAUACCACCACUGAUACUUAUAUAAAGUUACUAUAAUGAAGGUCAAGUUCAUGCAUUUUUAUUUGAGGACAUUUCAUAAAUUAUAAGUAUAGUUUCACAUUCCUGGACAGCUGAUAAAUAAUUUCAGAUUUGUUUUUGUAUGGACUUCCAUGUGUGAUUAUAAUUUAACAGAAAUACAUUUACUAACUUGCACAAAUUUGAUGUCUUAUUUGUUCAAACAAUGCUUCAGCUGAAAAUUUUAAGUACUUCAAUAUUAUCUAAUAGUGUUUUGUUCCUACCAUGUUUUUGCUGUAGUUUUGUUGUAUGCUAUUAAUACAUUCUGAAUGCCGACACAAAAUUUGUAAGUAUACCAGUCACAGUGUUUGUUUACUUCACAUGACAACUAACAAGUCUUGACAGUACAGCAUCCAUCCUAAUGCACUGAAAAUACAAAAUAGGUUUACCAGAUACAUACCAAACAUUGUUUUAUCCGAACAACAGUGUUACAAAGUGUAGAAAACUAGAUAUGCUUCACAUAUCCAGCGAGCUAUAAGACUAUCACAGUCUCCUAGUGCCUGGUAUUGAUCUGUUCAUUAUGUACUUUCCCAUUCUGCUACAUCAUACAUCCACUUUUAAUAAUGAUGGGUUUGGCAGUAGCCAUUGCUGAAUACUGUUUUUCAUUUCACUGUGCUGUGGUCGGGAUCGUCAUGUGAGGAUGUAUUAAAUAGCAGAAGCAGUUCCUGGUCUGUCACAGCCUAGUUUUGCUUCAGAUUCCUCGUUGACACAUUCUCCCCAUUGUGGAAUUCCAGUUAAUGUUGUGAGCAUUAGGUAAUGACUUCAGUGGACUACCAUAUAAGGAUACAGACAGUGUGAUGCGUGAAGGUUCUGGGUUGAUCCAGGGAGCAAGCGUGGAUAGCCGCAGUGGUUAAGGUGACUGCUCGUGAUAAGUGGGAUAUCAGGGUUCGAGGCCCAGUCUGGCACAAAUUUUUAAAUUUCACUGUUGGGUAGUAGAUCUAAACCAUAUACAGGUGAUGUCAAGGAAUUCCCAUUCAGGGAAUUAAUUUUGAAUUAUUUUGUACAGCUGUGGAUUGUCAAUAGAGUUUGUUCUUUCAAACAUGCGUGUAAGAAUUAGACAUCUGCCUCAAAUCAUUUAUUCUUGCAGGCAUGUGUGGUGUGACCAAUUGUGACUGUCUCCUUAACAAUAAUAAACAGUGUACUUGCUUUUU